CCUACGGGUGGCAGCAGUGAGGAAUAUUGGACAAUGGCCGAGAGUCUGAACCAGCCAAGUCGCGUGAGGGAAGACGGCCCUACGGGUGGUAAGCCUCGUUUGUCGGGGAGCAAAGCGAACCACGUGUGGUUCAUUGAGAGUACCCGACGAACAAGCAUCGGCUAACUCCGUGCCAGCAGCCGCGGUAAUACGGAGGAUGCGAGCGGUAUCCGGAUUUAUUGGGUUAAAGGGGAGCGCAGGCGGAGGUGCAAGCCCGCGGUCAAAUUGCGGGGCUCAACCCCGGACUGCCGUUGAAACUGCAUCGCUUGAGUGCGCGAGAAGUAUGCGGAAUGCGUGGUGUAGCGGUGAAAUGCAUAGAUAUCACGCAGAACUCCGAUUGCGAAGGCAGCAUACCGGAGCGCAACUGACGCUCAUGCACGAAAGCGUGGGUAUCGAACAGGAUUAGAUACCCGAGUAGUC
rnacentral:rRNA from 1 species